rnacentral:rRNA from 1 species
GAUGAACGCUGGCGGCGUGCUUAACACAUGCAAGUCGAACGGAACUACUCCAAUGAGAGUCUUCGGAAAGGAUUUGGUUUAGUUUAGUGGCGGACGGGUGAGUAACGCGUGGGUAACCUGCCCUAUACAGGGGGAUAACAGUUGGAAACGACUGUUAAUACCGCAUAAGCGCACAGGAGCGCAUGCUCCGGUGUGAAAAACUCCGGUGGUAUAGGAUGGACCCGCGUCUGAUUAGCUGGUUGGCGGGGUAACGGCCCACCAAGGCGACGAUCAGUAGCCGGCCUGGGAGGGUGAACGGCCACAUUGGGACUGAGACACGGCCCAAACUCCUACGGGAGGCAGCAGUGGGGAAUAUUGCACAAUGGGGGAAACCCUGAUGCAGCGACGCCGCGUGAGCGAAGAAGUAUCUCGGUAUGUAAAGCUCUAUCAGCAGGGAAGAAAAUGACGGUACCUGACUAAGAAGCCCCGGCUAACUACGUG